rnacentral:tRNA from 1 species
ACUAAUUUGGCAGAAUAGUGUGAUGAAUUUAGAAUUCAUUAAUAAAUAAAUAAUUUAGUUAGUA